rnacentral:sRNA from 1 species
AAUAACUCCCAGCAGUGCCCCCUUCCCCUUAAUAGGCUUCCCACAAAUAGCUAGGACAAACCACACGGUUGGAAAUAGCAAACAAAGUGUUCCACAAAUGCUGAGACUGCUUCACUUAAAAUGUGCGAAUUUGUUUGCAUUGGCAUCACGUGCGCCUGGGAAUAUGCAUAAUUGAAUUUUAUAACCCGUAAAGCUGUUAUUGCUGUAGAUACGCUCGUAUAUGACUUCCUUCACACAACGUACCGGGAUUCUCCUUAAUCUCUGUUUGCUUUGAUGCCAAGGGAGAUGAAUCCAAAUAUUUCCCGAGCCUCUGCCCAGAAUAUCAAAUUGACGCAGACCAACAAGAAUUUCAUACUCUUUAUCAGCUCGGUGACAGUUUGUUGUCAGUGAAAACAAAUUGUUCUUGCUUAUUGUCUCGGGGCACGACAAUUAAUCACAGCAUUAAUAACAGAUCCAGCCAGUGGAUGACAAAAAGGCUUUUGGUCUGCUAAGUGCCUUCUAAAGACUCUGAGAAUUAAUGCAAAAUUGUGUGAAAUUAAAUGCCGCUUAUUAGUAGUAUACUAGGCGUAUACGCAAUGCCGGAAAUUAAACAUACGCCAAACGGCAACAGAAGGAUUGUGAGCCCCGGCUUAAAGCGGAAGUUAAUUGUUAUGCAGAAAACAUAAUGCGAACCAAGAGGGCUGGGUAGGGAACUGUCGGGUCGGCAAAGAGGCAGCCAAGAUGAUGCAAAGCAUAGCAAAACUUUAAUAUUUAAAUAUGAAAAUCUAUUUAUGUAAGACACACAGAGCUCUGGUCAAACACAAGGAAAACAAACACAAAAUGGAAAUUAUUAAAUAUGAGCCAUUAUUGGUUCAGGCUUGUGAAUACUCUAAAAGGAUAUUACAAACGAUAACUAAAAAAAGGAAAGCGCAAUUUAGAACAUCAAGUUUGCCAGACUGAUCGCAUUUUCCCACAAUAUUCCAAAACCAGAACUGCUUCCUCGUACCAAACGCUGGAAAAUGCAAAAUUCCCC